AGAGUUUGAUCCUGGCUCAGGAUGAACGCUAGCGAUAGGCUUAACACAUGCAAGUCGAGGGGCAGCAUGAUCUUAGCUUGCUAAGGUCGAUGGCGACCGGCGCACGGGUGCGUAACGCGUAUGCAACUUGCCUUACAGAGGGGGAUAACCCGUUGAAAGACGGACUAAAACCGCAUACACUUGUAUUAUUGCAUGAUAUUACAAGGAAAUAUUUAUAGCUGUAAGAUAGGCAUGCGUCCCAUUAGCUGGUUGGUGAGGUAACGGCUCACCAAGGCGACGAUGGGUAGGGGAACUGAGAGGUUUAUCCCCCACACUGGUACUGAGACACGGACCAGACUCCUACGGGAGGCAGCAGUGAGGAAUAUUGGUCAAUGGGCGAGAGCCUGAACCAGCCAAGUCGCGUGAAGGAUGACUGUCUUAUGGAUUGUAAACUUCUUUUAUACGGGAAUAACAAGAGUCACGUGUGGCUCCCUGCAUGUACCGUAUGAAUAAGCAUCGGCUAACUCCGUGCCAGCAGCCGCGGUAAUACGGAGGAUGCGAGCGUUAUCCGGAUUUAUUGGGUUUAAAGGGUGCGUAGGCGGCCUGUUAAGUCAGCGGUGAAAUCUAGGAGCUUAACUCCUAAAUUGCCAUUGAUACUGGCGGGCUUGAGUGUAGAUGAGGUAGGCGGAAUGCGUGGUGUAGCGGUGGAAUGCAUAGAUAUCACGCAGAACUCCGAUUGCGAAGGCAGCUUACUAAGGUACAACUGACGCUGAAGCACGAAAGCGUGGGUAUCAAACAGGAUUAGAUACCCUGGUAGUCCACGCAGUAAACGAUGAUAACUGGGCGUAUGCGAUAUACAGUAUGCUCCUAAGCGAAAGCGUUAAGUUAUCCACCUGGGGAGUACGCCGGCAACGGUGAAACUCAAAGGAAUUGACGGGGGCCCG
rnacentral:rRNA from 1 species